CCUACGGGAGGCAGCAGUGGGGAAUAUUGGACAAUGGGGGCAACCCUGAUCCAGCAAUACCGCGUGUGUGAAGAAGGCCUUCGGGUUGUAAAGCACUUUAGGUUGGGAAGAAGGUGUAUUGUUUAAGAGAUGAUACAUUUGACUGUACCAACAGAAUAAGCACCGGCUAACUCUGUGCCAGCAGCCGCGGUAAUACAGAGGGUGCAAGCGUUAAUCGGAGUUACUGGGCGUAAAGGGCGCGUAGGCGGUUAUGUAAGUGAGAUGUGAAAGCCCUGGGCUUAACCUAGGAACUGCAUCUUAUACUGCAUAACUGGAGUACUGUAGAGGGUAGUGGAAUUUCCGGUGUAGCGGUGAAAUGCGUAGAGAUCGGAAGGAACACCAGUGGCGAAGGCGGCUACCUGGACAGAUACUGACGCUGAGGCGCGAGAGCGUGGGGAGCAAACAGGAUUAGAUACCCUGGUAGUCCACGCUGUAAACGAUGAGAACUAGAUGUUGGCCNGCUGUAUGUUAGUAUCGAGACACGACGAUAAGUUACUCCGCCGUCGGGGAGGUACGGCCGGCCGAACGGUUAAAACCGUUAACGUAAACGGAAGUUAGUACGGCGUAGAGACGUUAGCCGACGGACGACGACGAGGGGAGGAGGG
rnacentral:rRNA from 1 species